rnacentral:rRNA from 1 species
UACGUAGGGACCGAGCGUUGUCCGGAUUCAUUGGGCGUAAAGAGCUCGUAGGCGGCUGCUCAAGUCGAAUGUGAAAACUCGAGGCUCAACCUCGAGCCUGCAUUCGAUACUGGGCGGCUAGAGUCCGGUAGGGGAGUGUGGAAUUCCUGGUGUAGCGGUGAAAUGCGUAGAUAUCUGGAGGAACACCGGUGGCGAAGGCGGCAUCCUGGACCGGUAUUGACACUGAGGCGCGAAAGCCAGGGGAGCAAACGGG